GAUUAAGUUAUUAAGGGCGCACGGUGGAUGCCUUGGCACUAGAAGCCGAUGAAGGACGUUACUAACGACGAUAUGCUUUGGGGAGCUGUAAGUAAGCGUUGAUCCAGAGAUUUCCGAAUGGGGAAACCCAGCAUGAGUUAUGUCAUGUUAUCGAUAUGUGAAUACAUAGCAUAUCAGAAGGCAGACCCGGAGAACUGAAACAUCUUAGUACCCGGAGGAAGAGAAAGAAAAAUCGAUUCCCUGAGUAGCGGCGAGCGAAACGGGAAGAGCCCAAACCAACAAGCUUGCUUGUUGGGGUUGUAGGACACUCUAUACGGAGUUACAAAAGUAUAUAUUAGACGAAUCAUCUGGAAAGUUGAAUCAAAGAAGGUAAUAAUCCUGUAGUCGAAAAUAUAUACUCUCUUGAGUGGAUCCUGAGUACGACGGAGCACGUGAAAUUCCGUCGGAAUCUGGGAGGACCAUCUCCUAAGGCUAAAUACUCUCUAGUGACCGAUAGUGAACCAGUACCGUGAGGGAAAGGUGAAAAGUACCCCGGAAGGGGAGUGAAAGAGAACUUGAAACCGUGUGCUUACAAGUAGUCAGAGCCCGUUAAUGGGUGAUGGCAUGCCUUUUGUAGAAUGAACCGGCGAGUUACGAUUUGAUGCAAGGUUAAGCAGCUAAUGUGGAGCCGUAGCGAAAGCGAGUCUGAAUAGGGCGUUUAGUAUUUGGUCGUAGACCCGAAACCAGGUGAUCUACCCUUGGUCAGGUUGAAGUUCAGGUAACACUGAAUGGAGGACCGAACCGACUUACGUUGAAAAGUGAGCGGAUGAACUGAGGGUAGCGGAGAAAUUCCAAUCGAACUUGGAGAUAGCUGGUUCUCUCCGAAAUAGCUUUAGGGCUAGCCUCAAGUGAUGAUUAUUGGAGGUAGAGCACUGUUUGGACGAGGGGCCCUUCUCGGGUUACCGAAUUCAGACAAACUCCGAAUGCCAAUUAAUUUAACUUGGGAGUCAGAACAUGGGUGAUAAGGUCCGUGUUCGAAAGGGAAACAGCCCAGACCACCAGCUAAGGUCCCAAAAUAUAUGUUAAGUGGAAAAGGAUGUGGCGUUGCCCAGACAACUAGGAUGUUGGCUUAGAAGCAGCCAUCAUUUAAAGAGUGCGUAAUAGCUCACUAGUCGAGUGACACUGCGCCGAAAAUGUACCGGGGCUAAACAUAUUACCGAAGCUGUGGAUUGUCCGUAGGACAAUGGUAGGAGAGCGUUCUAAGGGCGUCGAAGCAUGAUCGCAAGGACAUGUGGAGCGCUUAGAAGUGAGAAUGCCGGUGUGAGUAGCGAAAGACGGGUGAGAAUCCCGUCCACCGAUUGACUAAGGUUUCCAGAGGAAGGCUCGUCCGCUCUGGGUUAGUCGGGUCCUAAGCUGAGGCCGACAGGCGUAGGCGAUGGAUAACAGGUUGAUAUUCCUGUACCACCUAGUAUCGUUUUAAUCGAUGGGGGGGGACGCAGUAGGAUAGGCGAAGCGUGCUAUUGGAUUGCACGUCCAAGCAGUAAGACUGAGUGUUAGGCAAAUCCGGCACUCAUAAGGUCAAGCUGUGAUGGGGAGAGGAAAUUGUUUCCUCGAGUCGUUGAUUUCACACUGCCAAGAAAAGCCUCUAGAUAGAUAACAGGUGCCCGUACCGCAAACCGACACAGGUAGUCAAGAUGAGAAUUCUAAGGUGAGCGAGCGAACUCUCGUUAAGGAACUCGGCAAAAUGACCCCGUAACUUCGGGAGAAGGGGUGCUCUUUAGGGUUAACGCCCAGAAGAGCCGCAGUGAAUAGGCCCAAGCGACUGUUUAUCAAAAACACAGGUCUCUGCUAAACCGUAAGGUGAUGUAUAGGGGCUGACGCCUGCCCGGUGCUGGAAGGUUAAGAGGAGUAGUUAGCUUCUGCGAAGCUACGAAUCGAAGCCCCAGUAAACGGCGGCCGUAACUAUAACGGUCCUAAGGUAGCGAAAUUCCUUGUCGGGUAAGUUCCGACCCGCACGAAAGGCGUAACGAUUUGGGCACUGUCUCAACGAGAGACUCGGUGAAAUCAUAGUACCUGUGAAGAUGCAGGUUACCCGCGACAGGACGGAAAGACCCCGUGGAGCUUUACUGUAGCCUGAUAUUGAAAUUCGGCACAGCUUGUACAGGAUAGGUAGGAGCCUUUGAAACGUGAGCGCUAGCUUACGUGGAGGCAUUGGUGGGAUACUACCCUAGCUGUGUUGGCUUUCUAACCCGCACCACUUAUCGUGGUGGGAGACAGUGUCAGGUGGGCAGUUUGACUGGGGCGGUCGCCUCCUAAAAGGUAACGGAGGCGCUCAAAGGUUCCCUCAGAAUGGUUGGAAAUCAUUCAUAGAGUGUAAAGGCAUAAGGGAGCUUGACUGCGAGACUUACAAGUCGAGCAGGGUCGAAAGACGGACUUAGUGAUCCGGUGGUUCCGCAUGGAAGGGCCAUCGCUCAACGGAUAAAAGCUACCCCGGGGAUAACAGGCUUAUCUCCCCCAAGAGUUCACAUCGACGGGGAGGUUUGGCACCUCGAUGUCGGCUCAUCGCAUCCUGGGGCUGUAGUCGGUCCCAAGGGUUGGGCUGUUCGCCCAUUAAAGCGGUACGCGAGCUGGGUUCAGAACGUCGUGAGACAGUUCGGUCCCUAUCCGUCGUGGGCGUAGGAAAUUUGAGAGGAGCUGUCCUUAGUACGAGAGGACCGGGAUGGACAUACCUCUGGUGUACCAGUUGUCGUGCCAACGGCAUAGCUGGGUAGCUAUGUAUGGACGGGAUAAGUGCUGAAAGCAUCUAAGCAUGAAGCCCCCCUCAAGAUGAGAUUUCCCAACUUCGGUUAUAAGAUCCCUCAAAGAUGAUGAGGUUAAUAGGUUCGAGGUGGAAGCGUGGUGACACGUGGAGCUGACGAAUACUAAUCGAUCGAAGACUUAAUCAA
rnacentral:rRNA from 1 species